rnacentral:misc_RNA from 1 species
AUGUGGAACCUCUCAUAAAGUACAGGCCUAACAUCCUUUUGAAGGGACAGAUGCUUGAGGAGUGGAAGGACGACGUCCAAAAGCUGAUUAUCAUAUGGCUGUCCAGCAGAAAAAGGAAUGCAUGGUAUUCCAUUCAACGGUUGCAACAAGAAACUGAAUGGGUUAUUAUCAACUAUUACAAUUUGACAGAGAUCUUUGGAUAAACAGGACAGAUCUUUCACAUGUUCUCUAUAUGCCGUGCUGACAGUUGAAGGCCGAUAAAGACGUAGGCUGAAUCGUUUCUCCACAUCUAUCCUGUCAACAAGCGGCCCAGCAUAACCUUCAAGACCAGCAGUAAACAAAACAAGAUCUGCAAAUUCACUAAUCUGUUUUAAGAACUCAUGCAAGCCAGGUCGUUCGAACACUGUCACAUAAUUGAUCUUUGUUUUUCCUUCACAUUCCUUGUCUGGAGAGACACAUUCUAACUCGAACCACUUCAAACCAGCUUCUAUUGCUAGAUUACGAAUACUGGUAGGCAAGCUAGAUGUUUCACAUGCAGAAACUAGCGUUUCAUCCAAGUCAAGUACCACAGUGAGCUUUUCCAUGCGGUGAUAGCCAGAAUCGGCUUUGCUGACCUCAGUGGGGACGCUAGUUUGCUGUGGUGCGAUCGAUGUCUCUUGCAAAGGAAUUUCAACGACGGGCAAAGGCUUGAAAGAAGGAGAAGAGGAAGAAGAAGAAGAGGAAGAAGAAGAAGGAAUUGGGUAUCUAAAGCCAACAUACGAGAGUAGCAUCUGAGCCGUGGAAGGCGUACCUCUGAGGAUCUGAAGAACCAACUGCAACAAAAACCCUAACAAAUUCACUAGCCCUCUCCAUACCUGCAGCGACCUUGACACGCACACUUCCCCUUGCUGCCCUACAAGCGCCAUACCCAAUUCAAUUUCCUAUCACAUGAAGCGAACGCUGCACAGUGAUCAACCUGGGGGAGAGAGAGAAAGAGAGAGGGAAAAGAGUGUGUCGUUUUCUUUGUUUUGCCUUGUUCUCGUCCUAGUCGUCGUCGUCGUCGUUUGGGUAAUGAAAGGAAUCAUGGAGGCUUAAGUAGAUGGCAUUUUGCUGCUCGACUAUUUU